UACAGGGGGUGCAAACGUUGCUCGGAAUUAUUGGGCGUAAAGCGCGCGUAGGCGGCCACUUAAGUCGGAUGUGAAAGCCCCUGGCUCAACUGGGGAAGUGCACCCGAAACUGAAUGGCUUGAGUGCGAAAGAGGGUCGCGGAAUUCCCGGUGUAGAGGUGAAAUUCGUAGAUAUCGGGAGGAACACCGGUGGCGAAGGCGGCGACCUGGGUCGACACUGACGCUGAGGCGCGAAAGCUAGGGGAGCAAACGGG
rnacentral:rRNA from 1 species